rnacentral:rRNA from 1 species
AUUGAACGCUGGCGGCAGGCCUAACACAUGCAAGUCGAGCGAGCGGCGGACGGGUGAGUAAUGUCUGGGAAACUGCCUGAUGGAGGGGGAUAACUACUGGAAACGGUAGCUAAUACCGCAUACCAUCAGAUGUGCCCAGAUGGGAGUGGCUAGUAGGUGGGGUAACGGCUCACCUAGGCGACGAUCCCUAGCUGGUCUGCGAGGAGGACCAGCCAACCUGGAACGUGGACACGGCCCAGAGUCCUACGGGAGGGACCAGUGGGGAAUAUUGGACAAUGGUCGCAAGCCUGAUGCAGCCAUGCCGCGUGAGUGAAGAAGGCCUUCGGGUUGUAAAGCACUUUCAGCGGGGAGGCGUUACCCGCAGAAGAAGCACCGGCUAACUCCGUGCCAGCCGCCGCGGUAAUAC